rnacentral:lncRNA from 1 species
GAGAUAAGAUUUCAGAUUUCAGGCAGACAAUACUCGUUGACACUCUGAAAAACAUUCUCCCAAAGAAAGAAUCACUCUUUUGGUGGACAGCCCGGUUCUUAUCCUUAUACUGACAAUCAUGACAGUAUUUCAUUUAUAGUAUUCAUGACUGUAUUUCAUUCCUUGAACUUUUGACUCUUGACAAGCCCUUCCCAGCUCCAGGUGUGAGCGGCACAAGUUAGCUCUCAAACAUAAAGCAGGUGAAAGUGUUUCGUUGUGGCUCGCCAAAUCUCUACAAAGAUUGCAACUACCAAGCGUUAGUCUCCCUUCCUAAAAAUAACACCUCUUCACUCAGACACAGGGCUGAAACAACAGGCCAAAGGAAAACAUUUUCUUAUCAGGAAAAUCUUAGUUCCUUUAUAUAUGAGAUUUCUACAUGGAUAACUUUAAAAGGCAGAGGGUGAAUUUUUAAAUGUUUGAAAUAUUAUUUUGGGGA